rnacentral:rRNA from 1 species
GGGGACCCGCAAGCGGUGGAUGAUGUGGAUUAAUUCGAUGCAACGCGAAAAACCUUACCUACCCUUGACAUGUACGGAAGGCCGGAGAGAUUUGGCUGUGCUCGAAAGAGAACCGUAACACAGGUGCUGCAUGGCUGUCGUCAGCUCGUGUCGUGAGAUGUUGGGUUAAGUCCCGCAACGAGCGCAACCCUUGUCAUUAGUUGCUACGAAAGGGCACUCUAAUGAGACUGCCGGUGACAAACCGGAGGAAGGUGGGGAUGACGUCAAGUCCUCAUGGCCCUUAUGGGUAGGGCUUCACACGUCAUACAAUGGUACAUACAGAGCGCCGCCAACCCGCGAGGGGGAGCUAAUCGCAGAAAGUGUAUCGUAGUCCGGAUUGUAGUCUGCAACUCGACUACAUGAAGUUGGAAUCGCUAGUAAUCGCGGAUCAGCAUGUCGCGGUGAAUACGUUCCCGGGUCUUGUACACACC